AAACUGAUAGCAAGGCACCAAACUGAUUUUUUUUAUUUUAAUCAAAGCAUUUUUAUUAGAUUGAGUGAUUCGCGCAUGCGCAUUUUUUAAAAAGUUCUGGCGGAAACUUAUUUCCACCUCAAUCUUCCAUUGCAGAGGACGUUGUGAAAAAUAUCAGACCCCACGGCAUUUUGGUAACGUUAAGGAGAGCUGCCACAAGAUCCACUGUGUUCCUGCUGUGCAACUACCAGUUUGGAAGUCCCUCAUCUUAUUGUAUUAUCCAUGUAUGUGGAAAUGUAAACUACAGAAAAACAACAACCGUCAAACAAUAAAAGAAAAGAUGGCAAAGACGUUUGGAUACCGUAGACAAGAAAUAGUGCAUAAGCAGCCGAGCAUUGAAGACAUGUUGACAAGAUGGCCAGCACUUUUUCAGAUGGAAGAGGUAUGUUUUCAGAUGCAAGGCACUGUAAGCCUAUUUUUGAGAGGAGAGGGACUUAAUAUAUUUGUUAAUGCCAAUGGUGUUCAUGAGCAUUCAUGAAAGAUGAUUUUUUUUUAACCUUAAAAACUUAGGUCUUUUCAGAGGAGAAUUUAUUUAAUACACUUUUUAAAAGUUCUUUCUGCGUGCUCUGUUAUUGUUUCUCCAGAUUAAUGCUGAGUUCAUGCGGGUGACAACAGUACCCUUGGAGACAAAGUUCUUAGCGCAGUUGGACAAGCACACGUCAAAACUGCUGGAGGUCAUCAGGAGCAAGGGAGGGCGUGUGAAAGAGCUGACCAAGGCAACUUUGCAGGUUUUAGAUGAGACCGUGGACAUCACAAUUAGAAGAGAGUGCAUCUUCAAAUCUUUGAUGAUCUACCUGGGUGAACCUGUUCAUCAUCUCAUUAAAGACUGCCAGGAAAAUGAAGCAGCCAUGGUAAUCGUCAGUGGAAACGAGGACAUUAAAAUUGUCAUUGACAGAGGUCCUCAGAGAGGUGCCCACAAUAGCAACGGCUGUUGCUAUGUUCUUCGGGCUCACCUAUGUUCUCAACAUAAAUUAUCCCAAAAAUCUGCACUAUACCCUUGAGUUUGUGCAAAAGGUCCUGAUGAAGCUUGGUGGAAAAAAGAUGUCCCCAAAAAUUCAUAGGCUGAGUACCCAGCUUGGCAGCCAAGAGUAGGCACAGUAGAGUUCCACUGUUAGGCCUGAUUUAAUGGCAUUUCUACAACCAAGACUUUGCACCGUUUUAUCUGGGGUUGGUGUUUGAAACACGCACAACUACAUUUCUGCUACAGUAUGGACAAAAGAAUCUGCCUAAGGUUUCACAGGCACAAGUGGGUAUUGUGCUGGAGAGCACUGAUUUGUUUAUUGCAGCAUUUUCUGACCAAGAGGAUCAGGAGCUACCUCACUCGUUUGCAAGUUAUGGAACUGAGGACGUUCACACACAUCACUUUUGAUUUUAAGGAAUAAUUCCUCUCUGACUGUAUUACAUUGCAUUUUCAAAUGGUCACUGUUCAGUGAGAAAAAU
ensembl:lncRNA